rnacentral:rRNA from 1 species
UACGAGGGGGGCAAGCGUUGUUCGGAAUUAUUGGGCGUAAAGGGUGCGUAGGCGGCUUGAUAAGUCACAUGUGAAAUCUUCGGGCUCAACCCGAAGUCUGCAUGCGAAACUGUCGGGCUUGAGUAUGGGAGAGGUGAGUGGAAUUUCCGGUGUAGCGGUGAAAUGCGUAGAUAUCGGAAGGAACACCUGUGGCGAAAGCGGCUCACUGGACCAUAACUGACGCUGAUGCACGAAAGCUAGGGGAGCAAACAGG